CAGUCGCCACGGUAAUACAGAGGGUGCGAGCGUUAAUCGGAUUUACUGGGCGUAAAGCGUGCGUAGGCGGCUUCUUAAGUCGGAUGUGAAAUCCCUGAGCUUAACUUAGGAAUUGCAUUCAAUACUGGGAAGCUAGAGUAUGGGAGAGGAUGGUAGAAUUCCAGGUGUAGCGGUGAAAUGCGUAGAGAUCUGGAGGAAUACCGAUGGCGAAGGCAGCCAUCUGGCCUAAUACUGACGCUGAGGUACGAAAGCAUGGGGAGCAAACAGGAUUAGAUACCCCUGUAGUCCCUGUCUCUUAUAC
rnacentral:rRNA from 1 species